rnacentral:rRNA from 1 species
AUACGGAGGGGGCUAGCGUUGUUCGGAAUUACUGGGCGUAAAGCGCACGUAGGCGGAUUAAAAAGUUAGAGGUGAAAUCCCAGGGCUUAACCCUGGAACUGCCUUUAAAACUAGUAGUCUAGAGUUCGAGAGAGGUGAGUGGAAUUCCAAGGGUUGAGGUGAAAUUCGUAGAUAUUUGGAGGAACACCAGUGGCGAAGGCGGCUCACUGGCUCGAUACUGACGCUGAGGUGCGAAAGCGUGGGGAGCAAACAGGAUUAGAAACCCCAGUAGUCC